rnacentral:sRNA from 1 species
AUCCCCCCAAGGUCGUGUUGGAUGAGAACCUGCGUUCAGGUUCGAGCCGAGCGAAGCGAGACGACAACGCGCAGCGUUGCCCGCAGGGCGAGGCCAAAGGCCGAGUCAAUCCUGCACGACCCACCA